GGGGGCGAUCCGGUUUCGACGGAUGCGAGAGAAGCGCGGAUGGCAUGCCGAGGUCCCGUUGGCUCGUAAAACAAACGGGGACUUUUCCAACUGCCGAUUAUCAGCCGGCAUACGUCUGCUAACUAAGGCAGACGCGCUCCACCCGAUUUCGCCCGUGGGGUCGGGAUGGAGCGUCAUAUACACGGGCUAGUCUCAUCCGCACCGCCGCCGGGCGGUGAGGCGAAAUUCUACGGCGGCUGGUCCGGUUGGAAUCCAGCCCGUUGGAGUCCUUCUGGACGAGAACCAAACAUCGGGCUACGCAUGUAGAUGUCCGCGUGGAGCCGUGUCCGGACGCGGGUUCAACUCCCGCCGCCUCCACCA
rnacentral:tmRNA from 1 species